AUUGAACGCUGGCGGCAGGCCUAACACAUGCAAGUCGAGCGGAGCGGCGGAGGGGUGAGUAAGGGCUAGGAAUCUGCCUGGUAGUGGGGGAGAAGGUCAGGAAACGGACACGAAUACCGCAUACUAUCGGAUGAGGCUGUGUCGGAUUAGCUAGUUGGUGGGGUAAAGGCAUACCAAGGCGACGAUCCGUAACUGGUCUGAGAGGAUGAGCAGUCACACUGGAACUGAGACACGGUCCAGACUCCUACGGGAGGCAGCAGUGGGGAAUAUUGGACAAUGGGCGAAAGCCUGAUCCAGCCAUGCCGCGUGUGUGAAGAAGGUCUUCGGAUUGUAAAGCACUUUAAGCUGGGAGGCGUUACCAACAGAAUAAGCACCGGCUAACUUCGUGCCAGCAGCCGCGGUAAUAC
rnacentral:rRNA from 1 species